UCUUACACCCUUAGUUCUCUUAGGACAAGCCUAUCUAGCCUAUUUUAAGUCCUAAUUGGUUUAGGAUAAGGCUCUAGAGAGUCUUAAGAGAUCUAGCCAAGUUACCAAGAAGCCAAGAAGUAGUUCAAUCAGGUUCAGGAAAUGAUUCGAUCAAAUCAAUCAAAUCGGGGUCAACUCGGAUCCGGUGAUCAGGUUCAGAAGAAGCGACUCUUUGAACCAAUUCUUAUGUGGAUCACCGUUGGAGGGU
rnacentral:lncRNA from 1 species